rnacentral:rRNA from 1 species
AUGUCUGUUUUAUAUGCUUGUAAGCUCUGCCUCCUCCUUGUUCUGCUGAAUUCGGCCAGCCACACCGUCGCCGGCACUGUGGCACCACCGACACCGAGCGCGGGAUUCAGUCUGCCUAUCGUGUCCAACCACAACACUGCUGGCAUGCUCGGGCAGCUUGGCGCGAACCUCACGAGCAUAGGUCCGCACAUAGCCCCCGUGGGGUGGCCCUUGUACGGCGUCCUCGUCGGCGUCGGCUCCGGCCAAACCCGGCACUUCUACAAGCUCGGGCUGGACCUCGUCAGCAAUCUGACUUGGAUGCAGUGCCAGCCCUGCGUGCCUGAGGUUCGGCAGGAGGGCGCCGUCUUCGACUCUGCUUUGUCCCCUCGCUACAAGCACAUGAAGCCCACAGACCCCAAGUGUACGGCCCCCUACACCCCCUCCAGCAGGAACCGGUGCAGCUUCUACACCACCUCCUGGAACGUCGCCGCGCACGGCUACCUCGGCAGCGACACGUUUGCCUUCGCAGGCAGCCCCAGCGCAGGAGGAGGACACAACAGGGACGUCGACAACCUCAUCUUGGGCUGCGCACACACGACACACGGGUUCGAGCGCCUGAGCCACAACAUUCUCGCCGGGGUCCUGAGCUUGAGCAGGCACCCGACGUCGUUCAUGAGCCAGCUCACCGCACGCGGGCUGACGGACUCGCGGUUCUCAUAUUGCCUCUUUCCCGGACAGAGCCACCCCAACACCAGGCACGGGUUCCUCCGCUUUGGCCGCGACAUCCCGAGGCACGACCAUGCGCAGAGCACGUCGCUGCUGUUCACUGGAUCGGGCUACGGCCAAAGUAGCAUGUACUACAUCCGCAUCGUCGGCAUCAGCUUGAACAGGAAAAAGCUUAACGGGGUAAAGACGGCGAUGUUUAGGCGGGAUCUACAAACCCGUCGCGGGGGGUCCGUCAUCGACCCCGGGACUCCCCUGACCAGGCUGGUUCGCGCGGCGUAUGACGUCGUGGAGGCCGAGGUCGCGGCGGACAUGCACAAGCAGGGGGCGCGCCGCUCGACGGUGCCGGUGCAGGGGUACCACCUCUGCUUUGGCUCGUGGGGCCACGUGCACUUUCCGAGCUUGACCUUCAACCUGUACGAAGAAGCGACGAGGCUUUUUAUCAAGCCGGAACUGCUGUUCGUGAGGGUGAACCAUGAGCACCUGUGCUUCGCCGUCGUGCCGGACGAGGAGAUGACGGUGAUUGGCGCGGCGCAGCAGGUGGACACGCGGUUCACAUUUGACCUCCCGGGGAAUCGUCUCUACUUUGCCCAGGAGCAUUGUAGUGCUGACACUCACCCAACUGUCUAG